rnacentral:tRNA from 1 species
UGGGGUAUAGCUCAGCGGUAGAGCUGCAUGCUUAGCAUGCACAGAGUCCUGGGUUCAAUCCCCAGUACUUCCA